rnacentral:rRNA from 1 species
UACGUAGGGGGCGAGCGUUGUCCGGAAUUAUUGGGCGUAAAGGGUUCGUAGGCGGUUUUUUAAGUCAGAUGUGAAAGGUCACGGCUCAACCGUGGUAAGCAUUUGAAACUGAAAGACUUGAGUUAAGGAGAGGAAAGUGGAAUUCCUAGUGUAGCGGUGAAAUGCGUAGAUAUUAGGAGGAAUACCAGUGGCGAAGGCGACUUUCUGGACUUAUAAUGACGCUGAGGAACGAAAGCGUGGGGAGCAAACAGG